rnacentral:rRNA from 1 species
UACGAAGGGGGCUAGCGUUGUUCGGAAUUACUGGGCGUAAAGCGCACGUAGGCGGAUGUUCAAGUUAGGGGUGAAAUCCCAGGGCUCAACCCUGGAACUGCCUCUAAUACUGGGGCAUCUAGAGUCCGAGAGAGGUGAGUGGAAUUCCGAGUGUAGAGGUGAAAUUCGUAGAUAUUCGGAGGAACACCAGUGGCGAAGGCGGCUCACUGGCUCGGUACUGACGCUGAGGUGCGAAAGCGUGGGGAGCAAACAGGG